CAAAGGUUAAAGGUGGGUUUCCCUCUCCAUGCUGUGCCACUGAAAUGUGGAAUUCUUCAUUGCUGAGUUCUCAGGGAAGACAGGAUUCAGGCAAGUACAUGACUAAGAGUUUCCUUAGGAGGGUAGGGACAUAGCAAGUCAGUAGCUCCUGGAGAAGAGAUCUGGGCUCUGGCUGCAGUGAGUAAUGCAUUCAUUCUGUAUAGAAUUCCUGCAUCAGGUGAUGUGGGGUUAUGUGUGGGCCUGGUCACUCUGAUGUCAUAGUGAGUAGGCUUUGUCUCCGUGAAGUCAGAGCUCAGCUACUUGGGUUGAGAGUUUGGUUGGAGUAGUAGUUAAAGCCAUUUUGGGAGCAGCAGGCAUCCUCAGAACACCUGGCUGUGUUGGUGUGGACCCUGUACAGGUACUCCUGUGCCUGUGCCCACGAGACUCUGCAGUUCUUUCUACAGCGGUGCUGCUGAGGGACUUCAUUUGAGAAGCAGAUCUGAGCUGACUAAUAACUGAUAAUCACUCAUGCAACACAACAGUAUACAGGUCAAAGAUGAGUUGUUGUCUCUGGAGUUGGCUGCUGACCUGGGGCACUCCAGGUGUAAUAAAGCCUAAAGCAUGAGACUCACAGGAUCCUGGGAGAACAUAGAGAUCCUGAGCUGCUUUCUUGAAACUGGGUCUUACUCUGCCGCCUGAGCUGCUUUUAAACUCCUACACUGAAGAGAUUGAUUUGCCUCAGCUUCUCAAAUAGCUGGAUUGUGGUUGCAUGCUGAAGGACACAAUAAAAAGCACUUUGCUCAUGA